GUUUCCGUAGUGUAGUGGCUGUCAUGUUCAUCUCACACUCGAAAGGUCCCCGGUUCAAAACCAGGCGGGAACA